GGUGGGAAAAAUGAGUUUUUCGCACCGGUUAGGUUUGAACCCGGUGCGAAUGCUCUAAAAUAAAUCAAAAUAUCUUCUUUCUCUCUCCUUCCUCGAAAUCUCGUCCUCUCUCACCUACCUUAGCUUCUCUCUCCUCCUUCAUUCUUCUUCAUCUUCUAUGAGGGCUGCGAUUUUGAGCCGAUUUUGAGCAGCCGCGAGUUUUCCAGUCACCGUCAUCCUCACCGGAGCCGCUUCGAGGUUCUCAUGACCCACUGUCACCCUCAUGCUUCACCUGCUCUCCACGGCUCCACCACUAUCGUCACUCUUCACCGUCGCAUUCUUCUCCGCUCCUCCAAAUCUUUCCUUUAUCAAUGUCUUCUGCAUAGAUCUGGUCUAAGUAAUCUCUCUUUCUUUAUAUUAAAGAUUCAAUUUGAAUUGAGCAAGUUUGAAAUUCUAGGUUUAAUUUGAUGAAGACAAUUGUGUUAUUUAUAGUUAUUACAUUUUAAUGUUGAUUAUUGUUCAUAACAAUCGUGCUAUCUUACGAUUACUCGUGUACGAUUUGCUCCAGAAUCCAACAAUCUUCUCAUUUCAUCUUGGGAUUCUAGUAUUAGGUUGGUGGAUGUGGAAAGCAGUAAGCUUAGAUUAGAAGUUCAAACAGAAGCUGCAGUACUUGAUUGCUGUUUUUAGAAUGAGUUUGUUGCUUUCUCUGCUACUUCUGAUGGAUCCAUUUUCAGGUACUUUCGACAUGCUUCUGGAGAGAUAUUUGCCAUAUCGCAGGAAUUGGCUCAGUUUGUAUCAAUAAAAAGGU